rnacentral:rRNA from 1 species
UACGUAGGGUGCGAGCGUUGUCCGGAUUUAUUGGGCGUAAAGAGCUCUAGGCGGUUUGUCGCGUCGGCCGUGAAAUCUCCACGCUUAACGUGGAGCGUGCGGUCGAUACGGGCAGACUUGAGUUCGGUAGGGGAGACUGGAAUUCCUGGUGUAGCGGUGAAAUGCGCAGAUAUCAGGAGGAACACCGGUGGCGAAGGCGGGUCUCUGGGCCGAUACUGACGCUGAGGAGCGAAAGCGUGGGGAGCGAACAGG